UUUUUCAAGAGAAGACAGGCAUACGAGCUUCUAACCCCAGCUCACGUUCCCUAUUAGUAGGAGAACAAUCCAAUGCUUGGUGAAUUCUGCUUCACAAUGAUAGGAAAAGCCGGCAUCGAAGGAUCAAAAAAGAGUCGUGUAAGGAAAGAGG